rnacentral:rRNA from 1 species
GAUGAACGCUGGCGGUAUGCUUAACACAUGCAAGUCGAACGGUCACUUCGGUGAUAGUGGCGGACGGGUGAGUAACGCGUGAGAAUCUGUCUUCAGGUCGGGGACAACAGUUAGAAAUGACUGCUAAUACCGGAUGUGCCUUUGGGUGAAAGAUUUAUUGCCUGAAAAAGAGCUCGCAUCAGAUUAGCUAGUAGGUGGUGUAAGAGACUACCUAGGCUCCGAUCUGUAGCUGGUCUGAGAGGACGAUUAGCCACACUGGAACUGAGACACGGUCCAGACUCCUACGGGAGGGGGGAAUGGGGGAUUUUGCGCCAUGGGCGGAAGCCUGACGGAGCAAUACCCCGUGAGGGACGAAGGCUUUUGGGUCGUAAACCUCUUUUCUCAAGGAAGGUGAUGACGGUACUUGAGGAAUAAGCAACGGCUAACUCUGUG